rnacentral:tRNA from 1 species
GGCUCAGUGGUCUAGUGGUAUGAUUCUCGCUUCGCGUGCGAGAGGCCACGUGUGCAAUUCCAGCCUGAGCCC